rnacentral:lncRNA from 1 species
GUGGAAGGAGGCUGCUGCUCUUGCUAAGCCUCCAAGCUCUGUGCAUUUUCUACCCAGUUCCCAACCAAAAUAGUUAUCUUAAUUGAACAAGAUUCUCUGUCUCCUGUUGAGAGAUCAGAAAGCAAAAUAUGCAAGGACAGCAAAGACAGAACUAUGGGAGCUGCUACAUAUUUCUUCUAUCAUAUUGAGAAAACCAAGGUAGAAAGGCUCAAGCCACCCAGCAAAUGCCCUUACCGAGGACAUUCUGAAGAAGAGGAUGCUCGAGGAAAACCUUGUUCUCUACAACUACCUGAAAGGAGGUUGUAAUGAGAUGGAGAUCAGCCUCUUCUCCUGGAAGUGAAUAUUCAUGAAGAAGGACUCAGCCAAGCAACAGAGCAAGCUGAGACUCUGGAAACAUCUAAUCAAACACACCACAGCAGUCACUGUCACCAUCUGCCAUACCAGAGUCAAGGUGCACCACUACAUCCUCUCCUGGGCUGGAGGCUGUUCCAAGUUUUAAUCAACAUUUGGAAGCAAACAACCACCAGACAGAAUAAAUAAGAAGAUCUCC